UAGAGCCUUCCCCUUCGGGGGACAAAGUGACAGGUGGUGCAUGGUUGUCGUCAGCUCGUGUCGUGAGAUGUUGGGUUAAGUCCCGCAACGAGCGCAACCCUUAAGCUUAGUUGCCAUCAUUAAGUUGGGCACUCUAAGUUGACUGCCGGUGACAAACCGGAGGAAGGUGGGGAUGACGUCAAAUCAUCAUGCCCCUUAUGAUUUGGGCUACACACGUGCUACAAUGGACAAUACAAAGGGCAGCGAAACCGCGAGGUCAAGCAAAUCCCAUAAAGUUGUUCUCAGUUCGGAUUGUAGUCUGCAACUCGACUACAUGAAGCUGGAAUCGCUAGUAAUCGUAGAUCAGCAUGCUACGGUGAAUACGUUCCCGGGUCUUGUACACACCGCCCGUCACACCACGAGAGUUUGUAACACCCGAAGCCGGUGGAGUAACCUUUUAGGAGCUAGCCGUCGAAGGUGGGACAAAUGAUUGGGGUGAAGUCGUAACAAGGUAGCCGUAUCGGAAGGUGCGGCUGGAUCACCUCCUUU
rnacentral:rRNA from 1 species